UUACCUGGGCUCAAAUGUAUGUUGACGUAUUCUGAAAGGGAUACUUCUUCGGACAAUAUACAAGGUGCUGCAUGGUGUCGUCAGCUCGUGCCGUGAGGUGUCGGGUUAAGUCCCAUAACGAGCGCAACCCCUAUCAUUAGUUGCCAUCAGGUCAAGCUGGGGACUCUAAUGAAACUGCCUACGCAAGUAGUGAGGAAGGUGGGGAUGACGUCAAAUCAUCAUGGCCCUUACGGCCUGGGCUACACACGUGCUACAAUGGCCGGCACAACGGGAAGCGAGUUCGCGAGGACGAGCGGAUCCCUCAAAGCCGGUCGCAGUUCGGAUUGAAGUCUGCAACUCGACUUCAUGAAGCUGGAAUCGCUAGUAAUCGUGGAUCAGCCAAGCCGCGGUGAAUACGUUCCCGGGCCUU
rnacentral:rRNA from 1 species